UACGGAGGGUGCAAGCGUUAAUCGGAAUUACUGGGCGUAAAGCGUGCGUAGGCGGUUCGUUAAGUCUGUUGUGAAAGCCCCGGGCUCAACCUGGGAAUGGCAAUGGAUACUGGCGAGCUAGAGUGUGUCAGAGGAUGGUGGAAUUCCCGGUGUAGCGGUGAAAUGCGUAGAGAUCGGGGAGGAACAUCAGUGGCGAAGGCGGCCAUCGUGGGACAACA
rnacentral:rRNA from 1 species